UUUGUUUGUGAACUGCUGUCUCCAAAGUUGUAUACUAAAUGUUUUUGUUCAUUUUUGUUUUUCUCUGUCUCAGAAACAUCAACAAAAUGGACAUUCUUGGAUUCAAUCAUAAUACAUUUUCAUGCAUUUUUCGUGUGUCUGGAAACAUGAUUGGAUUGCCAUCAUUGCAACAUUUUGUGUCCGUGUUCGGUGCUUGAUGUCCCUGUAUUUAUUCUAAAAGUGAUACGAGUGUGUAUACGCUGAGAUUCUGAAGUAAUCAACAGAGACAAGCUGAGGAGACAACAGAUAUGAAAGCUGAAAAAUCAGGUAGCCUGCUUUACUACUCUACUCUACAAUUAUGGAACCGAAUAAUUGGAACCAAAAUCAUUCUUCCCAAUUCCCAUUUCUACACUCAACACAAACCAUUUCCUCUUGUGGAUUUUCCAACACAUCAUUAAGGAACAUAUUUUGAGGCCCAUACGGUUUCCUCAGAUACACCUGUAACGGAAAAGCUUCAGGAGCUCUACUGGAGAGUGAAAAGGCGUGUUGAGCGCAGGAUGAGAAUGAGACUUGGCAAGAGUGAAGAAGGACAGUGAAACUGGACAAAAGUGGGGAGGGAGAUGGAGACAUGACAGCAAUGGAGAUAAAGAGUGAGACAAGCGGCGGCUUUUGAAUGGCGCUUUGAACUUGGCUCUUCUCUGAGGUGGUACAGGGAGGCUGAAAUGAUAAGAGAGGAAAAUCGCAGGAUGGUUAAAGAGAACUUCCUCGUGGAGGCGAGCCUUGGGAGAUUAGGAUCUAAGAUGAGCCCUGGCUGUCUCUCACUCACUCUGAGUAUGUGCAGAAAGAAGAAAUGUAAGGUCUCAUGUGUUGUAAAGACAAAAACUCAGACCUGGAACGCAGCAGAUUCUAGAUCUCUCUAUUAAAUCAUGUGUGUCUCAUAAUCAUCUAAACCGGUAGCGCGUAUAUUAUAGCCUGAUGUAGCCUAUAGAUGAAGACGGAUCGGCUCCCGCAGCAUACCUUAUCUCCAUAUGUGCAAAUAAACAGAUCAAUAUGUUACAUGUUUCCCAUAUCAUACAGUCAUCGUCAUACUGUGUUCUCUGGAUUUAUCAGUAUCAGAUUUGAAAGAAAAUCGCUUGAAAUAAUAUUCAAAUGCUUUCCCACCCCCGUCUCUCUCUGUCUUUCUUUAUCCAUUUAGUCUCUCUCUCUUUUUGCUAUCUCUCGAUAUCUCUCUCUCUCAGUCUGUGUCUUUCUCUCUGGCUCUUGCGAACUUCACAGACCAUAAAAUCAGCAAUUGCAUUGCUAGGCAACUAGCAUUUGCAAGAAGCAGACUGGAGUGGAAGCUUCUCAGUGCUUUUUCAAAUGUAGAAUAUGGUCAUGAUUGUUAACGAGAGACACACAACAUAUUCAGUCGGAAUAAACUGUUCAUCUGGCAUGCUAAAGUCACGACUUUACAUAGUUGGAGUUUUGCAUUACUGUAGUAGCCUACUCUGGAGUUGUUAUCCGUUUUUAUGUUCUAGAAUAAUCUUUAAUAUCUGGAA